rnacentral:misc_RNA from 1 species
UGGCUCUGGCAUCGAUGAAGAACGCAGCGAAAUGCGAUAAGUAAUGUGAAUUGCAGAAUUCAGUGAAUCAUCGAAUCUUUGAACGCACAUUGCGCCCGCCGGCACUCCGGCGGGCAUGCCUGUCCGAGCGUCAUUGCACCCCUCAGGCCCUGCCUGGUGUUGGGAGACUGCGACUGCAGCUCCCCAAAGACAACGGCGGCGGGCGUCCCCGGACCGAGCGUAGUAAUACAUCUCGUUCUGGCCGGGACGCCUCUCCGGCCGUAAAACCCCAACUCUUUAGUAGUUGACCUCGGAUCAGGUAGGAAUACCCGCUGA